UACGAAGGGGGCUAGCGUUGUUCGGAAUUACUGGGCGUAAAGCGCGCGCAGGCGGUUUCUCAAGUCAGUGGUGAAAGCCCGGAGCUCAACUCCGGAACUGCCAUUGAAACUGUGAAACUUGAGGACGAGAGAGGUGAGUGGAAUUCCCAGUGUAGAGGUGAAAUUCGUAGAUAUUGGGAAGAACACCGGUGGCGAAGGCGGCUCACUGGCUCGUUCUGACGCUCAGGCG
rnacentral:rRNA from 1 species